rnacentral:lncRNA from 1 species
GUUCUGAGUGAAGCAAGCGGGCGGCAGAGCUGGAGGUUUCACAAGGCUGCUGGGAGAGGCUUCGGUGCAGGAACCCAAGUCCAAGUUUGCUUCUUAGGAUGUGUAAAGCAUGGUCUUUAAGAAAGAGAACCUGGAUUUCAUUGAAUUGUAUUUAUGUCGAAUCACGAUUCUCUUGUGCAAUUAUUAGCAUGAACUCUGUGCAUGAAAGCAACAUCAGGAGUCUGCCUGGGUCCGAGAGGAGUUCAGCCUUACUACAGCCUCAGAUGAGAACAGGAGUGGGACCAGCUCUGAGUUAGAUGAAACCCAGAAGACUUCAGAGAAAGUCCUCUAUCACUUCCAGCCCAGCCCAGUAAGGGAAACUGGGACUCUUCCUCCUUUUGUUCUACUCAAGUUGCUGCUUCCAAGGCUCUGUGACCGACAAGGGAUGGACUGGACUAUUAAUCUAAAAUGUUUAAUUUUUAAAGUCAUUUGUCAUAGAGAGUCACAACCCCGAGCAAUGAAAAUAUUUUUUAAUUCAUAGGACACCUGCUGGGAGAAGUGUGCUCCUGUUACUCAGAAUUCUGCAAGUGAAAGUAAAAUGUGUUGGGGAUAGUUCCUCCCUAAUCUCCAUUGGGAAGUUUGCAUCUGGAUCCCAGUUGUAUACAGUUUUUGUUAAUUUAUGCUUGUGUGAACAGCUGCCUGAGACAGACCAUAUUUGGAUUUAGCAAGUGUUUCUGUUCCUUCAAAAAAAAAAUAUAUCAAAACAAAACAACUCCACAGUAAUGACAAUGAAGGCUUUCAAAAGAAUUCUGGAAACUCAGGUUCCCAGAAGUGGCCCAAUAACAUGAAGAUAUGAAACAAGGUCUCUACUAUGUCAGAGACAUCGCCAUGUUAGUUAGCUGUCAACUGACAUCUAACAGAAGCCUUUUCACAUGACUCUCUGUCAGACAUCCCUGAUAACCGUGUGCACACUUUCCCUGUGUCACAUCACCACUCCACCAGUGGUGUCAGGAGGAAAGACAACAAAGGCCAGAACUGUUACUGCUGAGACAGAAAGAAGACUGUAUCAGUAGCAUGACUCUUUAAUCACUGUUAUGUACAAUUUAUCAUCUGACAGACUUACAGGGAAUAAAUAAAGGAAAAUAGACAAUUGGCAAA